rnacentral:tRNA from 1 species
GCCGCGGUGGCGGAAUUGGUAGACGCGAUGGACUCAAAAUCCAUUGGUCGCAAGGCUGUGAGAGUUCGAGUCUCUCCCGCGGCA